rnacentral:rRNA from 1 species
AUUGAACGCUGGCGGCAGGCCUAACACAUGCAAGUCGAACGAGUGGCGGACGGGUGAGUAGUGUCUGGGAAACUGCCUGAUGGAGGGGGAUAACUACUGGAAACGGUAGCUAAUACUGCAUAACAUCGGUUGUGCCCAGAUGGGAUUAGCUAGUAGGUGGGGUAAAGGCUCACCAAGGCGACGAUCCCUAGCUGGUCUGAGAGGAUGACCGGCCACACUGGAACUGAGACACGGUCCAGACUCCUACGGGAGGCAGCAGUGGGGAAUUUUGCGCAAUGGGCGCAAGCCUGAUGCAGCCAUGCCGCGUGUGUGAAGAAGGCUUUCGGGUUGUAAAGCACUUUCAGCAGAGAAGCGUUACCCACAGAGGAAGCACCGGCUAACUCCGUGCCAGCAGCCGCGGUAAUUC